rnacentral:rRNA from 1 species
UACGUAGGGUGCUAGCGUUGUCCGGAAUCAUUGGGCGUAAAGAGCGCGUAGGCGGCCAGAUAAGUCCGGUGUGAAAGUCACAGGCUCAACCUGUGAAUGCCGCUGGAAACUGUCUGGCUAGAGUCCGGGAGGGGCGAGUGGAAUUCCUGGUGUAGCGGUGAAAUGCGCAGAUAUCAGGAGGAACACCGGUGGCGAAGGCGGAUCUCUGGGCCGGUACUGACGCUGAGACGCGAAGGCGUGGGGAGCGAACGGG